rnacentral:lncRNA from 1 species
CCAAUUCCAUGUAGAAGUCUACCAAAAUUUGCAUUUAGAAACUUUCCAAAAAUCCAAGAUUUCUCAAUUUUUCCGCUCAAACUCGCUGGGGCGAAUUUCCAUUUCCUGCUGCGACGUCCUUUGGUAAAAUGAGCAUAACUUUUGAUCCGGGAGGGGUUACGGGGCCUACUACCUAUUAAAACGAAGAUAUCGACGAGAUUUGCAACUUUCAUUCUUUGAGAAUCGACAGAAUCUUUCUGCAUCAAGGUCGAAAUCGGGCUCCAAGUGACUGCUGUGUAAAUUGCAACUUCCAAACUUUGAGGUUCAACGUCCGUUUAGUAAAAAUAUCAUAACUUUUUCAUAUGAACUCCGUUUUGGACGAUUCAAGAUGUUCCGGAAAGAUAAAUAAGAGCUCUACAAUAAAAUUCAAGUCCCAAGCCAAGAACAUGCAUCCAACUUAAUGCUAAAAAUCCUACAAUUUUCUCUUUUUCCUCAUUUCAGCUCCAAUUCUUCCUGAAAUCAUUAAACACCUUAAUAAGCUCAUAUACACAAGAAACAUGCAAUAAAACUAAAUAUAAUGGAAUCAAAAUAAAUGAAUAAUAUGCACUCAUCAGUCCCAAACAUAAAAAUGUUAUUUUCAAGAUUCAUGAAAAUCACGGCGUGGUAUUUUGUAAUGAAUCAACCUUUUUAGAACCAAAGUGAUAUAUUAGUGAUCCAUCAAGGGCUUAAGGUUUUGAGAUUAGGACAAUCGCUACUAAUUUGAACCUCUACGUUCCAGAUUGACAGGAUACUCUUGUUUGCAACCAUGCCAAUAUUGGUUGUCUAAAAAAAACAAUGUUUAGAUGCCUUUGUUAUAUUAAGUUAUUUUCUUACCUGCAAGCUAAACAAUAUAUGUGGAGGCUGGAAAAUGACUUGGUCCAAGUAUUUCUAUCAUUUGUUUUAUUGUACCUCCUUGAGGUUUACACAGCACUUCCUUAAUCUACCCAGACCAAUUUCAUGACCAUCAGAGAGUAUAAAAAUUUGUGGUGUCAAGCAAGAUCGAUUUACCAAUGUAACAAAAUCGCUUAGACCAUAAUGGAUGCAAAAGUCGAAUAUUAGUUGUGUGCUUUCAGAACGUAACUGGUUUCUCUCAUCCCUUAAAAUCUAGGAGUUUAUUUUUCUAGUUGUUGUGAUGUAGGACAAAUUUAGGAUGAAGAAUUAACGGAAAAUAAACUAGGAUUUAAACUUUACGUUUAAACCACUAAGAUCUCUCAAGUGUAUCAACUCCACGUAUCAACACCAAAAUGGAUAAAAUACCUCUACGGUAGGUUACCAUAAAAUAAUCAACUUCAAUAUCAAUAGUCUGUAGUCUAAAAAACUUGUGGGGAUUACAUCACUAUUUAAAGAGACUCAAAACUCUAAUAUUACUUGAGGAAUAAUCAAAGUACUAAACGACUAAAAUACCCUUAUUAAUAAUUCCUAAUCACUAAUUAAUGUCCUAAAUCUCCAUUAAUAAAUAAAAUACGUAAAUCACAUCGACUACUUUUAUCAUAAUAAAACUCCAAAUAAUAAAUAUAAAAUGUCACUUCUUUGUUUUUGACUUGGAGUCCCCAACUCCCCAUCAUGUUGCCAGUUGCCACAUAGUUAGGUUUUAUUUUUUGCACUGCAUAUUAUAAGCAUCUAUGAGCCAUGUCCUCAGUAUGUCUAUAAUAACUGAAUCUGAAUGAUGACUUCUUUCUUUCUUUUUGUCUUCUUCGCUAGAAAAUUUAGUGGUAUCUGCUCUUUGGCAAUCAUGUGCAUCACUUAGAAUUCUUAAAAUUCAGUGGCUGCUUCUUUCUUCACAAAUAAGCUAAAAUUAAUCACUUGAAUUUACUUGGCAUGUAGUGUGAGUGCAUGUCAGUAGACUUUUCAUUUAUCUGUUAAGAUUUUUGGUCCACAAAGUUAGGCAAAACGUUUCAUGUUCUGCUAGUUCUUAUUUGUGACUUUACUUGUUUACAUUCUUGAUUUUUUCCUUUCGACACAUCUUAUGGGCUGUGUCAAAUGGACAAACUCAUGCGCUUGUAAUAGGUGAAAACCAAUAUCGUUUAUUUCAUUUAAUUGGUUCUUGUAUGCAUGUGCUUGCCACUUGCUCAAAAAUAAUUAUAAAAAAAAGUAAAAUUAUAAUCUCAUUUACUUGCUACUUAUCCAUUUUUGGUUGGGCUGGGGGGGAGCAAUAUUUGCUUGCUUUAUGACUUAUAAUUUUCUAAGACUUUAAACAUUGCUAAGAGAGAACACAAUGUAUAGGAUCUGAGUUCUCUAUAUGGCCAAGCGAACUUGACUUUUCUUGUUAAGAAAGUUUCUAUGUAUGUUUACAUAUGCUGAUUCCUUGUGCUGACAUAUUGCUUGUGUAUAUGUCAGCAGACAGUAAAUGUACAAAUGACACCGGCAAAGACCAACCAACUCCUGUAAUCUCAUCAACUACAACUAGCAUUGCAGAAAGUAACUCAUCCACUUCCAAACUUGAAGAGGAACUUAGAGUUGCUUCUCGGCUUCGGAAAUUCGCUUUUAAUGAUCUUAAGAUGGCAACAAGAAAUUUUAGACCGGAGAGUCUUCUUGGUGAAGGCGGUUUUGGUUGCGUAUUUAAGGGGUGGAUUGAAGAGAAUGGAACGGCACCUGUGAAACCAGGCACUGGCCUUACUGUUGCUGUGAAAACCCUCAAUCAUGAUGGACUUCAGGGUCACAAAGAAUGGCUGGUCUGAUGCUCAGCUUAUCCGUAUUACUAUUGAUAUUUUGUUUCUCUUUCUCUAUUUUUCCUGCCUGUCUGAUUCUUAUUAUUUUUAGUCUAUGUUCAGUUUUCGAUAGUCUCAAGUAUUGUCUCCUUUGGCAGGCUGAAGUGAAUUUUCUUGGUGAUCUCAUUCAUCCAAAUUUGGUUAAGCUGAUUGGUUAUUGCAUUGAAGAUGAUCAACGAUUGCUAGUUUAUGAGUUCAUGUCACGAGGAAGCUUAGAGAACCACCUGUUUAGGAGUAUGCUACCUUCUCUUUCUCGUUAUUGAAUCCUUCUCAGAAUUGUGUUUAUGAGUUUCGUUUUUAGUAACAUAUUGGUUUUUCUCUCAGUAUUGAAUGUCUGAAGAAAAGUUAGGAUAACUCACUUUGAAAUUUACAUCUCAAGUUUCACCAUAUUGAAUUUUGAUCUUAACCAUUGAUUAUGUUAAAGAGAAUCUUCCUUAAAAUUUUGGACACUUGAAUAAGUGCUCUAAUUAUGAGACUGGAGUAUGUCUAAAAUAACAAUGUCUGUUUUUUUUUUUAUGAUAUUUUAUUAUUAUCUGUGUCUGGAAUUAUUAUCUAGUUGACUUUAAAGUUAUAAAGGAUCUACUUCCUUAUCUAUAAAAAAAUUACCAUGCUGCUGGUUAUCUUUACUCAAUAGUGGUUUUAGGCCAAUUGCUGAGAUUUCUGAUUAGGAAAUCUGUACAAGUGUGGUGGUCAAAGGUAGUCUAGAAAAUUGUUUGUGAUCCUGAGCAUGUUUCACCUUGAACUGCAUUUGGGUCAGCUUGAAAUCACAAAUAUAACUAGAAUCAGUUGACAGUUGGUUUUAGUAGAGUAAAAGAUAUUGAUCAAUUUAAAUAAAUACUAGUUGAAAUCUAAUGCACUUAUGAUCCUUUUAAUGUCAUUAAAAGUAUCCGUCAUAAUUGUGUUUACUUGGAAUUUUCCUCUUGAUAUCAUAUCACAAUAUGAAGUGAUAAGUGAUAACUAAUAACUUGAAGAACAAUAAAGUCUGUAUUUUGCUUGACACAAUUUCAGAUGUAUAGUGCUGGUUGGCUAAAUCAGAGGUUAAAAUUUAAAGCAGUGGGCAGCAUUGCAGUUAUAAUACAUUUUUUAGUAGGUACAUAAACUCACCGUAUUUCACUUGACACAAAUUCAGAUUAUACUGAGAACUUGUAUUGUACUGGCUGGGCUGAAUGAGAGAAGGAAUUGUAAAUCAGUGGGUGACAUUGCAAUGAUAAUACUUUUUUGAGUAGGAAUAUAAAAUUUCAUCUUACUUUGUACUCGCUUAAGUCAUUAUGGAUGCUCAAAGCUUCACUUUAUGCAAGUUGAUAAUUGGCAGCUGCUGAAGAAUGGCGGGCAGCAUUGUGUACAUAAU